rnacentral:lncRNA from 1 species
CUUUUAUAUUAUUGUCUACAGUUUUAAAAUUGUAAUGUCUCUUACAUGAUACAUGAGAUGUACAUUCAUUGUCUUAUUUAGUCUGUAGGAGAAAAAGCCCAGAGCUGCAGCGUCUAAGAAGAGUUCCCUAAAUGGCCGGUAAAAGGUUUUAGUGAAAAAAGCUUUGCAGUGGGACUUAAACUUGAUACUGAUCACUGUUGAGAAAAUCGUUAAUGACCAGGAAAGGCAAAAGUAUUCCUUUGCUUCAAAAAGCAGCUGAGGUCAACUAUCAUAUGUAACACAAGUGAACCAGUCACAUUUCUUCCAUUCCUGGCCUUGUCUGUGAUAUUUUGUACCCC